rnacentral:rRNA from 1 species
CUGCUGCCUCCCGUAGGAGUUUGGGCCGUGUCUCAGUCCCAAUGUGGCCGUCCACCCUCUCAGGCCGGCUACUGAUCGUCGGCUUGGUGGGCGUUACCCGCCAACUACCUAAUCAGACGCGGGCCCAUCUUACACCACCGGAGUUUUCCGCACCAGACCAUGCGGCCCUGUGCGCAUAUGCGGUAUUAGCAGCCGUUUCCAGCUGUUGUCCCCCUGUGUAAGGCAGGUUGCCCACGCGUUACUCACCCGUCCGCCACU